AUUCCAGUUCCAAUAGCGUAUAUUAAAGUUGUUGCAGUUAAAAAGCUCGUAGUUGGAUUUCGGAAUGGGUCAAUUAGUCCGCCGCAAGAUGAGUUACUGGUUGGUCUGUUCUUCUUCGCAAGACUGCGUAUGCACUUUAUUGGGUGUGCGUAGGAUUUACGACGUUUACUUUGAAAAAAUUAGAGUGUUCAAAGCAGGCUAUCGUUUGAAUACAUGAGCAUGGAAUAAUGGAAUAGGACUUUGAUCUUAAUUUAUUGGUUUCUGAGACCGAAGUAAUGAUUAAGAGGGACAAUUGGGGGCAUCCGUAUUUCGUUUUCAGAGGUAAAAUUCUUGGAUUUACGAAAGACGAACAACUGCGAAUGCACUUGCAAAGAAUGUUUUCAUCA
rnacentral:rRNA from 1 species